AUGCAACUCGAGCGAAUGGAUUAAGAGCUUGCUCUUAUGAAGUUAGCGGCGGACGGGUGAGUAACACGUGGGUAACCUGCCCAUAAGACUGGGAUAACUCCGGGAAACCGGGGCUAAUACCGGAUAACAUUUUGAACUGCAUGGUUCGAAAUUGAAAGGCGGCUUCGGCUGUCACUUAUGGAUGGACCCGCGUCGCAUUAGCUAGUUGGUGAGGUAACGGCUCACCAAGGCAACGAUGCGUAGCCGACCUGAGAGGGUGAUCGGCCACACUGGGACUGAGACACGGCCCAGACUCCUACGGGAGGCAGCAGUAGGGAAUCUUCCGCAAUGGACGAAAGUCUGACGGAGCAACGCCGCGUGAGUGAUGAAGGCUUUCGGGUCGUAAAACUCUGUUGUUAGGGAAGAACAAGUGCUAGUUGAAUAAGCUGGCACCUUGACGGUACCUAACCAGAAAGCCACGGCUAACUACGUGCCAGCAGCCGCGGUAAUACGUAGGUGGCAAGCGUUAUCCGGAAUUAUUGGGCGUAAAGCGCGCGCAGGUGGUUUCUUAAGUCUGAUGUGAAAGCCCACGGCUCAACCGUGGAGGGUCAUUGGAAACUGGGAGACUUGAGUGCAGAAGAGGAAAGUGGAAUUCCAUGUGUAGCGGUGAAAUGCGUAGAGAUAUGGAGGAACACCAGUGGCGAAGGCGACUUUCUGGUCUGUAACUGACACUGAGCGCGAAAGCGUGGGGAGCUAACAGGAUGAGAUACC
rnacentral:rRNA from 1 species